rnacentral:rRNA from 1 species
GGCGAACGCUGGCGGCAGGCCUAACACAUGCAAGUCGAACGAACUCUUCGGAGUUAGUGGCGGACGGGCGAGUAACACGUGGGAACGUGCCUUUAGGUUCGGAAUAACUCAGGGAAACUUGUGCUAAUACCGAAUGUGCCCUUCGGGGGAAAGAUUUAUCGCCUUUAGAGCGGCCCGCGUCGGAUUAGCUAGUUGGUGAGGUAAAGGCUCACCAAGGCGACGAUCAGUAGCUGGUCUGAGAGGAUGAUCAGCCACAUUGGGACUGAGACACGGCCCAAACUCCUACGGGAGGCAGCAGUGGGGAAUCUUGCGCAAUGGGCGAAAGCCUGACGCAGCCAUGCCGCGUGAAUGAUGAAGGUCUUAGGAUUGUAAAAUUCUUUCACCGGGGACGAUAAUGACGGUACCCGGAGAAGAAGCCCCGGCUAACUUCGUG